CCUACGGGAGGCAGCAGUGGGGAAUAUUGCACAAUGGGGGAAACCCUGAUGCAGCGACGCCGCGUGAGUGAAGAAGUACUUCGUUAUGUAAAGCUCUAUCAGCAGGGAAGAAAAUGACGGUACCUGAGUAAGAAGCCACGGCUAACUACGUGCCAGCAGCCGCGGUAAUACGUAGGGGGCAAGCGUUAUCCGGAUUUACUGGGUGUAAAGUGAGCGUAGACGGCAGUGCAAGUCUGGAGUGAAAGGCGGGGGCUCAACCCCCGGACUGCUCUGGAAACUGUACGGCUGGAGUGCAGGAGAGGUAAGUGGAAUUCCUGGUGUAGCGGUGAAAUGCGUAGAUAUUAGGAGGGACACCGGUGGCGAAGGCGGCUUACUGGACUGUAACUGACGUUGAGGCUCGAAAGCGUGGGGAGCAAACAGGAUUAGAUACCCCAGUAGUC
rnacentral:rRNA from 1 species